rnacentral:rRNA from 1 species
AGCGAACGCUGGCGGCAGGCUUAACACAUGCAAGUCGAGCGGGCGUAGCAAUACGUCAGCGGCAGACGGGUGAGUAACGCGUGGGAACGUGCCCUUUGGUUCGGAACAACACGGGGAAACUUGUGCUAAUACCGGAUAAGCCCUUACGGGGAAAGAUUUAUCGCCGAAGGAUCGGCCCGCGUCUGAUUAGCUUGUUGGUGAGGUAACGGCUCACCAAGGCUACGAUCAGUAGCUGGUCUGAGAGGAUGAUCAGCCACACUGGGACUGAGACACGGCCCAGACUCCUACGGGAGGCAGCAGUGGGGAAUAUUGGACAAUGGGGGCAACCCUGAUCCAGCCAUGCCGCGUGAGUGAUGAAGGCCCUAGGGUUGUAAAGCUCUUUCGGCGGGGAAGAUAAUGACGGUACCCGCAUAAGAAGCCCCGGCUAGCUUCGUGCCAGCCGCCGCCGUAA